rnacentral:rRNA from 1 species
UACGUAGGGGGCAAGCGUUGUCCGGAUUUAUUGGGCGUAAAGAGCGUGUAGGCGGCCAUACAGGUCCGUUGUGAAAACUCUAGGCUUAACCUCGAGACGUCGAUGGAAACCGUAUGGCUAGAGUCCGGAAGAGGAGAGUGGAAUUCCUGGUGUAGCGGUGAAAUGCGCAGAUAUCAGGAAGAACACCCGUGGCGAAGGCGGCUCUCUGGGACGGUACUGACGCUGAGACGCGAAGGCGUGGGGAGCGAACAGG